UACGUAGGGUGCGAGCGUUAAUCGGAAUUACUGGGCGUAAAGCGUGCGCAGGCGGUGAGUUAAGUCUGAUGUGAAAGCCCCGGGCUCAACCUGGGAAUGGCAUUGGAAACUGGCUCGCUGGAGUAUGGCAGAGGGGGGCGGAAUUCCGCGUGUAGCAGUGAAAUGCGUAGAGAUGCGGAGGAACACCGAUGGCGAAGGCGGCCCCCUGGGCCAAUACUGACACUCAGGUGCGAAAGCGUGGGGAUCAAACAGG
rnacentral:rRNA from 1 species